CUGUAGCUCAAUUGGAAGAGCAUCCGUUUUACACUCGGAAGGUUAAGUGUUCAAACCACUUAUUUCUUA
rnacentral:tRNA from 1 species